rnacentral:tRNA from 1 species
GAGAAAUUAGUUUAAAUUAAAACAUUAACUUGUCAAGUUAAAAAUAUUUAUUAAAUACUUCUCC